GCAAAAAGGCAUAUGAUUUAGCAUGCGUACAAUUAACCAUGUUCAAGAGACCUGACAGUGGUGCAGCUUAGAUAAAAUUCCGUAACAAUUGUGUAUUUUAUGAUAAACGCAUAGAAUUUGGAACACAUAUAACCAAAGGUAUUCCAAAUAAAACUGGACAUUGAGUCAUCGUGAAUUUUUAAUGUGUCAUCCAUGGCAGUCAUUUGUCGAAAUGAAAAUUGAAAAAUGCUCCAA